CAGAGGCCGAAGAAGGCACCCUUCUGCCUUGCAGGGACCGACCUGCGGGCAUAGAACAGGUGGCAUGCAGCAAGUGUCUGGCCAUGUAGAGAACAGUCUGUCCCUCCUGCUCAGUAACUCCUCCAGGUAACCUGAGAUCUCCAUCUGCAGGGCCCGCCCUCCCAAAAGGCCCCAGGAAGCCUGUAGGUGCCCUUGGAGGGGGUCCCUGCCGCAGCUGAGGGUGUCGGAUCAACUGGAGAGAGAGGAUGAGGGGCCGGCUGGAGCCAGGAGGGGACCUCAGAUAGGGUCAUGAAAGUGACUGGGGGCCCUCCAGAAGGAGUGACAUGAUUGGCAGGAGCAAGGUAACCAGGUAUUUCUGAGACUGGCUGGACACACCCCCCCCCCCUCGAUUCCACUUGCAUUGGCAGGACCCGUGCCUGCACCGGCCUCUGGGCUUUCAGAGCCUUUCAGUUCACAGGGACCGGGGAGACGGUCUUGUACGUCCGUUGUGACUGAGAAGGUGUGCGAUAGCACUCAGGACGAUUAUGGGGAGGGGUGGCCUCUUUGUUCGGCUGGGAAACGGAGCCCAGAGUGGAGGAAGGACUGGCCGAGGCCAUGCAGUGAGUUGGUGGCUGCCUAGAGCCCAGGGUGCAGGUUAUCCAUCUGAACCGCAGGCCUCUGUGGUCUAUGGCUGUUCCGUGGGGAGAGUAGUGGGGUUCAGCAAGGCCACCCCACCCCAGCCUGAGACCUGAGGCCCGCCUGCCCAUAGGUUAGGGUUCACCUGGGACUCCACUGCCUGAGGCGGCACAGCCCAACCAGAGACCACCUCCUCCUACCAUGUGCCCAUUA